GUCCCUUUGGGGACAUCCGAUAAAAUUGGAACGAUACAAAGAAGAUUAGCAUGGCCCCUGCGCAAGGAUGACACACACAAAUCGAGAAAUAGUCCAAAAAAAAUUUUA